rnacentral:rRNA from 1 species
GAUGAACGCUGGCGGCGUGCCUAAUACAUGCCAGUCGAGCGAACGGACGAGAAGCUUGCUUCUCUGAUGUUAGCGGCGGACGGGUGAGUAGCACGUGGAUAACCUACCUAUAAGACUGGGAUAACUUCGGGAAACCGGAGCUAAUACCGGAUAAUAUUUUGAACCGCAUGGUUCAAAAGUGAAAGACGGUCUUGCUGUCACUUAUAGAUGGAUCCGCGCUGCAUUAGCUAGUUGGUAAGGUAACGGCUUACCAAGGCAACGAUGCAUAGCCGACCUGAGAGGGUGAUCGGCCACACUGGAACUGAGACACGGUCCAGACUCCUACGGGAGGCAGCAGUAGGGAAUCUUCCGCAAUGGGCGAAAGCCUGACGGAGCAACGCCGCGUGAGUGAUGAAGGUCUUCGGAUCGUAAAACUCUGUUAUUAGGGAAGAACAUAUGUGUAAGUAACUGUGCACAUCUUGACGGUACCUAAUCAGAAAGCCACGGCUAACUACGUG